UAGGGAAUCUUCGGCAAUGGACGAAAGUCUGACCGAGCAACGCCGCGUGAGUGAAGAAGGUUUUCGGAUCGUAAAACUCUGUUGUUAGAGAAGAACAAGGACGUUAGUAACUGAACGUCCCCUGACGGUAUCUAACCAGAAAGCCACGGCUAACUACGUGCCAGCAGCCGCGGUAAUACGUAGGUGGCAAGCGUUGUCCGGAUUUAUUGGGCGUAAAGCGAGCGCAGGCGGUUUCUUAAGUCUGAUGGGAAAGCCCCCGGCUCAACCGGGGAGGGUCAUUGGAAACUGGGAGACUUGAGUGAAGAAGAGGGGAGUGGAAUUCAAUGUGUGGCGGUGAAAUGAGUAGGGAUCUGGUGGAAUACCGGUGGCGAAGGCAGCCCGCUGGACGAAGACUGACGCUCAGGUGCGAAAGAGUGGGGAGCAAGCAGG
rnacentral:rRNA from 1 species